rnacentral:miRNA from 1 species
GUACCGUGGAACAAGGAAGUGGC